AGGACGAACGCUGGCGGCGUGCUUAACACAUGCAAGUCGAGCGGUGAUCCUCCUUCGGGAGGUGAUCAGCGGCGAACGGGUGAGUAACACGUGGGCAACCUGCCCCUCACACUGGGAUAACCUCGGGAAACCGGGGCUAAUACCGGAUACGACCUCGAACGGCAUCUCUUGAGGUGGAAAGCUCCGACGGUGAGGGAUGGGCCCGCGGCCUAUCAGCUUGUUGGUGGGGUAAUGGCCUACCAAGGCGACGACGGGUA
rnacentral:rRNA from 1 species